rnacentral:rRNA from 1 species
GCGCACCAGUCGCGAAUACUUUACAAUGUGCGAAAGCACGAUAAGGGAACUCUGAGUGCCUCCUAAGGAGGCUGUUCAGGUGUCUAAAAGCACCUGAAGGAAGGGCUGGGUAAGACCGGUGCCAGCCGCCGCGGUAACACCGGCAGCCCAAGUGGUAGCCACGUUUAUUGGGUCUAAAGCGUCCGUAGCCGGCUGGGUAAGUUCCUUGGGAAAUUUGGCUGCUUAACAGUCAAGCUUUCAGGGAAUACUGCCCGGCUUGGGACCGGGAGAGGUCAGAGGUACUCCAGGGGUAGGGGUGAAAUCCAUUAAUCCUUGGGGGACCACCGGUAGCGAAGGCGUCUGACCAGACCGGGUCCGACGGUGAGGGGACGAAGGCUAGGGGCGCGAACCGGAUUAGAUACCCGGGUAGU